rnacentral:lncRNA from 1 species
GAUUGCAUAAAUAAUCAGUGGGUUAGUAGUCAAUAUCUACACCAAACAAGAAAUCAAAGAUAUAAGUGACAGUUAGUUGGAGAACUAGAAGUAAACAUGGUGCAAACAGUUCUUCGCGAGGGUAUACCCAGCAAUUGAGGGAGAGGAAGAAGAAGAACAGAAAAAACCUUAGAGGAAACAUUUUUUUUUUUUUUUUUCGGUGAAAGGAAAUGAGAAAAAGAUUAGAGAGUCGUGCUGAUAACGUGUUAUAAAUAGGCAAAAUUUAUAGAGAGAUAACCUUUACUCGG